AGUAUUACAGGCAUGAAACUGUUAAAGGCAUUUUUAGGAAUUUAGAUGCAAUGGUUCUCAAGGUAGAGAUGCUACAUAUCCAAAGUACAUUGUCUUUCUAUAGGUGCCUUUCAAGUCUAUAGGAAGCCUUUUAUCAUUUGACAUCAGAAUUCUGAGUUAGAAGUCGAGAUUCUCAAGUCUUUUCCAGUUUAUGUUGCAGAAAUAAAUUUAACAGCUAGUCAAUGCUAAAAAUAAUAUGCUCAUGAUUGAGCUAAACACAAUCCGUACGGUCAAUAGACAUUUUCCAGUGAAUUGAGUAGCAGUAACCACGACAAUUUUAGAACAUUUUAU
rnacentral:misc_RNA from 1 species